UGAUCGCUCCGGUGGCCUAGUGGUUAGAGCGUCCGCCUCGGAUGCGGCAGGUUGUGGGUUCGAUCCCCGGCCUAAUCAU